AGAGUUUGAUCCUGGCUCAGGAUGAACGCUGGCGGCGUGCCUAAUACAUGCAAGUCGAACGAAGCACUUCGGUGCUUAGUGGCGAACGGGUGAGUAACACGUGGGUAACCUGCCCUCAAGACGAGGAUAACCGUUGGAAACGAUGGCUAAGACUGGAUAGGAACCGAGGAGGCAUCUCUUUGGUUUUAAAAGACCUGGCAACAGGUAUGCUUGAGGAGGGGCCUGCGGCGCAUUAGUUAGUUGGUGGGGUGAUGGCCUACCAAGACGAUGAUGCGUAGCCGGACUGAGAGGUUGAACGGCCACAUUGGGACUGAGAGACGGCCCAAACUCCUACGGGAGGCAGCAGUAGGGAAUUUUCGGCAAUGGGGGAAACCCUGACCGAGCAACGCCGCGUGAACGACGAAGUACUUCGGUAUGUAAAGUUCUUUUAAGAGGGAAGAAUGGCCCGUGGAAAAGCGGGCGUGACGAUACCUUUUGAAUAAGCCCCGGCUAACUAUGUGCCAGCAGCCGCGGUAAUACAUAGGGGGCAAGCGUUAUCCGGAAUUAUUGGGCGUAAAGGGUGCGUAGGUGGCCAUUUAAGUCUUUGGUGUAAGUUCAGCGCUCAACGCUGUGAUGCUAAAGAAACUGGGAGGCUUGAGUGUGGUAGAGGCAAGUGGAAUUCCAUGUGUAGCGGUAAAAU
rnacentral:rRNA from 1 species